rnacentral:lncRNA from 1 species
UCUUCUGUUUUAUCACUUUAUUGGUUGCGGCGGAAUUGCAGCCAGAACAAAGUUGGGAGGAAAGAUCAAGUUUGUGAGGAAAGAACAGAGUUGGCGAAGACCAAUUCUUGAUAGAUCGUGUGGCGAAGACCAUUGAGCGAGAUUCUUCUUGGUCUCCGAAGGGUCCCUCCGAACAAGAAGAAUUAGAAGAACAGGCGAAGACCAAUUCUUGAUAGUUCAUGAGGCCAAGUCCAGUUUUCUUUCCUGUUAAGAUGGGUGUCCCUCCGUUUCAGGUUAUUCUUGAGUCUGCGAAACCCUAGUUCCCAAUUCAAUACCGAAUCCGGACAACAUCUUAGUAUUCAGCCCACAGAACUCAAAUUCCCCUAGAUUAAGGGACCAAACUCUGUCUCUGCCAAAAGUGAUAAAUGCAAAAUACUCUCUUAAAAGGAAGACAUUGUCGUCAAGUAAAGAAGGAACUGGUGUACGUUAUCCCAAAAUAUCAAACAGGAAAGCAGACUACCAAGUCCAAGGGAAUUAAAGUUUGACAAGAGGUUUAUGAAGGAGCCACCAACAGAUUUAUUCAGCAAGCUCUCACUUGCACCUGAAGCCCAUCAUAAUGCAAAACCUGAGCUUAAAACUGCCUAUGCCUGCUAAGAUCCUAAAUUUGUUCAAAAAUGUCGGACUGGUUCGGUGAAAAGUGACGGGAGGAUCCUUGAAAAAUAAGUAACUAACUACAUCAGCAAGUUAGUUAGUUUUCUAGAAAGUCAAAUAAUAGAGUUCAUUAUCUGUUUGUAAUUUUUCUUCCUCUUAUGGCCCCCAGACAUCAUUUUUCGCAUGAACAGGUGGAUGCUUUAAUUUCUUGACCUUCUGAUCUUGUGAGCUUAUUGCCAGGAGUCAUUUGUCUUGUGAGCAGUUUGGCACCUUUUUGUCAAAUUUUAAGGAAUUAAACGCCCACGAGCAAAGAAAAUUGAGCUCAGGACUCUGCAGAAGACUGAUGAGAUAUUUGGGACAGAGAAUAAGGACGUAUACACUAUAUUGGAGGAUUGAUCAGUCAAACGUCUAUAGAACCCUAUACCCCAUAUUCAUAUUGGAAAGGUUGCUAACAGUCCAUUGAACUUGUGGCAAUUGGAUUCUGUAAAUUUAAUCCAUUUUUCAUGUAAUUAAAUAUGAAUCUGCAAUAAGUCAAUUCUUUGAAUUCGUGUAUCUGUACAAGUAGCAACUCUGAGAAUGUUAGCAAAUGAAUUGUUCCGACUUAUUCACUAGCCUUGAGACUUCAGUUAAAGGUGGGAAAUUUCUUCUUGUAUCAGUUGUAUGGCUAAGAACCACGCUGGUUUCAUGUGAUAAGAGAACCACGCUUCAAUUGCUUGUCCGUUGAAUACCUGUUGUAAACUUGGACUGU